GGACGCUUGGCACAGCGGCAACUGCACUUCGCUUACAUCGAAGCAUACCACAGGUUCGAGUCCUGUAGCGUCUACCA
rnacentral:tRNA from 1 species